rnacentral:sRNA from 1 species
CGGUGAUGGUGGCAUGGAUGCCUCAGGGACGCAGAGUGAUCUUCCAGAAGGUUAAAGAGUGGUCUCUCAUGAUCAUGAAGACUUUGAUAGUUGCGGUGCUGUUGGCUGGAGUUGUCCCUCUCCUUCUGGGGCUCCUGUUUGAGCUGGUCAUUGUGGCUCCCCUGAGGGUUCCCUUGGAUCAGACUCCUCUUUUUUAUCCAUGGCAGGUAAAUGUAUGUCUUUUGCUCAUGUUAUUUCAUUAAGGAUUUGAGAU